rnacentral:rRNA from 1 species
GACGAACGCUGGCGGCGUGCUUAACACAUGCAAGUCGUACGGUAAGGCCCUUUCGGGGGUACACGAGUGGCGAACGGGUGAGUAACACGUGAGUAACCUGCCCACAACUUUGGGAUAACGCUAGGAAACUGGUGCUAAUACUGGAUAUGUGCUCCUGCCGCAUGGUGGGGGUUGGAAAGCUCCGGCGGUUGUGGAUGGACUCGCGGCCUAUCAGCUUGUUGGUGGGGUAGUGGCCUACCAAGGCGGCGACGGGUAGCCGGCCUGAGAGGGUGACCGGCCACAUUGGGACUGAGAGACGGCCCAGACUCCUACGGUUGGCAGCAGUGGGGAAUAUUGCACAAUGGGCGCAAGCCUGAUGCAGCAGCGCCGCGUGCGGGAUGACGGCCUUCGGGUUGUAAACCGCUUUCAGCAGGGACGAAGCUUUUUGUGACGGUACCUGCAGAAGAAGCACCGGCUAACUACGUG